rnacentral:rRNA from 1 species
GAUGAACGCUGGCGGCGUGCUUAACACAUGCAAGUCGAGCGCCCCGACGCAAGUCGGGGAGUGGCAAACGGGUGAGUAAUACGUAGGAAUUUCCCCCAAACUAGGAGAUACCCCGCCGAAAGGUGGGCUAAUAUCCUAUAAUCUCGCAAGAGCAAAGCUCCGGCGGUUUGGGAAAAGCCUGCGCCCCAUCAGCUAGUUGGUGAGGUAAUGGCUUACCAAGGCUACGACGGGUAGCUGAUCUGAGAGGAUGAUCAGCCACAAUGGGACUGAGAUACGGCCCUUACUCCUACGGGAGGCAGCAGUUGGGAAUAUUGCACAAUGGGCGAAAGCCUGAUGCAGCGACGCCGCGUGAUCGAAGAAGCUUUUCGGAGUGUAAACCUCUUUUAGCAGGGAAGAAGCGAAAGUGACGGUACCUGCAGAAAAAGCACCGGCUAACUACGUGCCAGCCGCCGCAGUAAUAC